GUCGACGAGACGGGCUUUAGUUUACUAAAGUUGUCAGCUAAGUGGCGCACGGGUGAGUAAUAUAUAGGUAACGUGCCUCUUACAAAAGAAUAACAGUUGGAAACGACUGCUAAUGCUUUAUAUGCCUUUAUCACAUAAGUGAGCAAGGGAAAGUUUUUCGGUAAGAGAUCGGCCUGUACGGUAUCAGCUAGUUGGUGAGGUAAUGGCUCACCAAGGCAAUGACAUCUAACUGGUUUGAGAGGAUGAUCAGUCACACUGGAACUGAGACACGGUCCAGACUCCUACGGGAGGCAGCAGUGGGGAAUAUUGCACAAUGGAGGAAACUCUGAUGCAGCAACGCCGCGUGGAGGAUGACACAUUUCGGUGCGUAAACUCCUUUUAUAUAAGAAGAUAAUGACGGUAUUAUAUGAAUAAGCUCCGGCUAACUCCGUGCCAGCAGCCGCGGUAAUACGGGGGGAGCAAGCGUUACUCGGAAUCACUGGGCGUAAAGAGCAUGUAGGCUGGUAGAAAAGUUAGAAGUGAAAUCCUGUGGCUUAACCAUAGAACUGCUUCUAAAACUCUCUACCUAGAAUAUGGGAGAGGUAGAUGGAAUUUCUGGUGUAGGGGUAAAAUCCGUAGAGAUCAGAAGGAAUACCGAUUGCGAAGGCGAUCUACUGGAACAUUAUUGACGCUGAGAUGCGAAAGCGUGGGGAGCAAACAGGAUUAGAUACCCUGGUAGUCCACGCCCU
rnacentral:rRNA from 1 species